GGCUUCGUGGUCGAGUGGUAAAGACACUUGCCUCUUACUCUGGAGUCCUUGGUUCGAUCCCCGGUCGAAAAGCUA